GCGGGUGUCCCUGGAGGGGAGAGGUGGGCAAGUUUGCAUUUUGUCCCAGAUAGACUGUUGUUGGGACAGGACCGCUACAGGUGGAGAUGUUGAGAGGCGUUGGGAGGUGUCCCGUCUUAUUCUGGGUGGCGGUUGCUUUGGACAUGGCUGGGUUGUCCCUUCUGUUGAUUGGCAUCUUUGGCAAGGUGCAGGUGAAGAGCAGGGGGGUGGGAGACUGCUUCAUCUACAGCGGGGCCAUCAUCGUCUUCCUCAGCCUCAUCUGGUGGCUGUCCUGGUGCACGGGCAACAUCGAGGUCUCUCUGGAGGAGCUGGAGAAAGGCGCCAUGCACAAGGGCAACGGCUUGGCCAAGCUCACCAGGAAGUUCUCCGAAAGGUUGGCCGCCAAGAGGCAACUUUCCCCAGCGGAGGGCGAGAAGGGUCUGGACGAGAUGUCUACGGCCAACGCCUGGGACGUGGCCAGACUGUAUGGCGAGGUGUCGGCGCAGCAGCAGCAGAGGCAAGAGGCGAGAUACGUGGAGCUCAACAGUGUGAGGCCGCCCCGCUUAUCGCACAUGAAGCUGCAGAGGGGAGAGAGGCUGGUGUAAACGGUGAUCGUGUGAGACUUAAUGUAUGUAAAAUAUGAAGGAGACGGUGUUCCCUGAAGAAUGAAUGCUCUGUUGUUGGCAGAUUAAAUUUGCACUAUUUUCCAAGCAGAAGGUUCUGAUUCCUUAAAAGCACGUGGCAACUGAUCCAUUUCAUCUUGUGAUUUGUCAUGACCAGCUUCAUCCGUGACAGAAUCGUUUUAACAUUUUAAAAUGAUCAAACUAGCUGGCUUCACUCUUACUAAAAAUUGACAUCAUAAAUGGCAACAACACAAUAUGUGGUUAUGGUCAUGUUUGAGUGUAUUUGCAUUUGCACUAAUGUGUAAUGUAUUAAAUUCAAUAUUGCACUGUGCUUGUAUGUAUUCAGGGGACUGCUCUCAGUCUCACACAUUGAGCAUCAGCAUGGCACUUUCAUAUUUAAAUUGUAUAUAAUAUUAACUCAUGUGGAAUAAAAAAAAAUUAUUUACAAAU